rnacentral:rRNA from 1 species
GAUGAACGCUGGCGGCGUGCCUAAUACAUGCAAGUCGAGCGAACAGACGAGGAGCUUGCUCCUUUGACGUUAGCGGCGGACGGGUGAGUAACACGUAGGUAACCUACCUAUAAGACUGGGAUAACUUCGGGAAACCGGAGCUAAUACCGGAUAAUAUAUUGAACCGCAUGGUUCGAUAGUGAAAGACGGCUUUGCUGUCACUUAUAGAUGGAUCUGCGCCGUAUUAGCUAGUUGGUAAGGUAACGGCUUACCAAGGCAACGAUACGUAGCCGACCUGAGAGGGUGAUCGGCCACACUGGAACUGAGACACGGUCCAGACUCCUACGGGAGGCAGCAGUAGGGAAUCUUCCGCAAUGGGCGAAAGCCUGACGGAGCAACGCCGCGUGAGUGAUGAAGGUCUUCGGAUCGUAAAACUCUGUUAUUAGGGAAGAACAAAUGUGUAAGUAACUGUGCACGUCUUGACGGUACCUAAUCAGAAAGCCACGGCUAACUACGUG